ensembl:lncRNA LINC00858 long intergenic non-protein coding RNA 858
AGAGCCAAAGAAACUAACUUAAUUUUCCGUAUCAGCUUCAUUUUCCCCUUUACUCAAUGCCCAGAGAUUAAUUCUUGGUUUCAGCCCCACCCCAUGAAAAGGAUGUCUAUUCAAUCAGAGAGACACAAAGAUGGCUUGUGCAAACCAAGCAAAAAAGACACAAGAGGAAUUUAUUCUGGUUAAUAAGCUGAGAGCAAACAUGUAGAGGCUAAUUGUAUGCCCAGCUCCUUACACACGUUGGAUGCUACUAUUUCCAAAAUGUCAACAACACUUUGGACUAUCAACCUGUCUAAAGAGUAUUUGAAGCAGUGAUGCAGGCCUCUGAAGGAAAAGGUGCACAUUUUCAACAAUAAAAGAGAGACAUUCCUUUAGUGUAUCUCCACAUUCCCUGAAGGGGAGCUGGAAUGACAUGACGGACUUGGCCUCAGGGCCCCAAGCCUUCCCUGUUGCAGUCUUCAUGACACUCCUCAGAAGCAGCAACUCCAGCCAUGUCUGGAACCAUUCCUUACCAGACAGGAGGAUAUCAUGGCCUCAACUCAUGAUCUGUACCAAGCCAAACCUCUUUUGGGGUACCCACCAAGCCUCAGGCCUCACCUUCUCUGCCCUGUUGUCCCUGCCCAUCUGUCCUGGUUUUCUACUAGUUUCCACUACUGGACACUUGUCUGAGGCUGGGUCCCCACCUGGAUCUUGUGGCCUCUUGCCCAGGGCUUGGAGGGAAGCUGCUCCCACACUUGAAGAUGACAGCUGAGCAUGGUCCUUUGUGGGCGUGCUGUCAGGAAGAUGACAGUGCAAUCUGUUUAAUGUGCCAGUUGUCUCUGUGAGUCCCUCAUCCGGAUGAGCACUUGUCACACCCCUGCAGAGCCCCAGCUGGUUCUUAGAGAGGUGCUCCAGCUCUGUGAUUACCUAAUCUGGCUUCCCAAUCUAUCCCACAAUGUGUCAUUGCUGAGGUCCCUGUGGGUCUUGCAGAUAAACUUGCUACAGUCAUCCUACACAAAAAAGAAGCUCGUUAUCAUGAAACCGGCCUGCUUUUUAGCUCCUGGGCCCUAACUCACCCCAGAUUGCUGCCAGCUCUUUUGUUUUCCCACUUAGACCAAAGGGAUUGAGAAGCUUUCCCAUUCCUUGGAGCUGCCACCCUCCAUUCUAAGGCAGUCUCCCCCUUCACCCUGCUUGCUGCACCCCAGAUGCUGCAAGGCCCAUGUGCUGUUUUUGACUUCAGUACUUCAGAUUGCUGUGGGAACACAGGAGGCAGCAGCCAGAUGAGAAAUUGAGUCUGACUCUGGAGUAUUAUAAAGUCCUUAUAGUUACUGGCAUUAGGUAUAGGGUCUGUAUUAUUAAAGAGAAAUUAUUCACCAAACACUUGUUAAAAAUGGCAAGACAGUUUAUUUAAGAGCAUUGCAAUAGGUAAGUGCUAUGGUCUCAAUGUUUGUGUCUCCCUCAAAUUCAUAAGUUGAAACUUCACUUCCAAGAUGAAGGAAUUAGGAGGUGGGCACUUUAAGGGAUGAUUAUGUCAUAGGCCAGAGCCCUCAUGAACGAGAUCAGUGCCCUUCUAAAAGAGGCAUUGGGAGAGACCCCUCACCUUUUCCAUCAUAUGAGGACACAGCCAGGAAGCAUCAUCCACGAACCAGAAAAUUGGCCCUUACCAGACACUGAAUCUGCUGAUGUCCUGACCAUGGACUUCUGAGCCUUCUGAACUGUGAGAGAUAAAUUUCUGUUGUUUAUA